GGGGCGGUGGCGAAAUGGCAGACGCUGGGGACUUAAAAUCCUCUGGGCUAAUUACCCGUGCGGGUUCGAGUCCCGCUCGCCCUA
rnacentral:tRNA from 2 species